GAAACUGCUCUGUCUUUUGAGCUAUCAAGCCUACCGAGAUUGGUGGUUAUAAAGAAUAUAAAACACAAGCAAUAAUUACAACAACUAUAAAAUUAGAUCGACUUACCACUGAUAGACGAAUGGUAAUAGAUAAUUGAAUCUUUGAAGAUUUUGCAACCAAUUGAUCUAAACAGCGUCAACUGUAUUUUGUGUUUGAGACAACUUCUUAAUUUGUCGUAAUAUUUAUGGUGCUUGGAAACCCAGGAACUACAGGAAGUGUCAGGAACAAGAACUACAGGAAUUACAGGAACUACAGGAUUUCCG